rnacentral:rRNA from 1 species
ACGAACGCUGGCGGCGUGCUUAACACAUGCAAGUCGCACGGAAAGGCCCUGCUUUUGUGGGGUGCUCGAGUGGCGAACGGGUGAGUAACACGUGAGUAACCUGCCCUUGACUUUGGGAUAACUUCAGGAAACUGGGGCUAAUACCGGAUAGGAGCUCCUGCUGCAUGGUGGGGGUUGGAAAGUUUCGGCGGUUGGGGAUGGACUCGCGGCUUAUCAGCUUGUUGGUGGGGUAGUGGCUUACCAAGGCUUUGACGGGUAGCCGGCCUGAGAGGGUGACCGGCCACAUUGGGACUGAGAUACGGCCCAGACUGCUACGGUAGGCAGCAGUGGGGAAUAUUGCACAAUGGGCGGAAGCCUGAGGCAGCAACGCCGCGUGCGGGAUGACGGCCUUCGGGUUGUAAACCGCUUUCGCCUGUGACGAAGCGUGAGUGACGGUAAUGGGUAAAGAAGCACCGGCUAACUACGUG